rnacentral:rRNA from 1 species
UACAGAGGUCCCAAGCGUUGUUCGGAUUCACUGGGCGUAAAGGGUGCGUAGGUGGUGAGGUAAGUCGGAUGUGAAAGCUCGGAGCUCAACUCCGAAAUGGCAUUGGAAACUACCUUGCUCGAGGGUUGGAGGGGGGACUGGAACGCUUGGUGUAGCAGUGAAAUGCGUAGAUAUCAAGCGGAACACCAGUGGCGAAGGCGAGUCCCUGGACAACUCCUGACACUGAGGCACGAAAGCUAGGGGAGCAAACAGG